GGUCCCGUCUUCACCACAGGACAGAAAAGUGUAAGGAUCGUUUGGUACAGUCAUAAUCUGAAGAAGAAAACAAAAGCACAGGUAUCACUUAAGAACCCUUCCUGUAACGUAACCUUCCUGAACAAGGUGGAAAAAAACAUGUUACAGCAGAAGCGUGUCUGGAACAGCCAAAUACGGACCACUAAAAAUAUAUUCCUCCAUAAAAGCACUGAAACACUGCAGUUUUCUUUAACUUCAUGGCAGCACUGAAAACACCAAUGGCCUUGCAUCUAUGGUAGUUGUGAGAACCAGCAUCUUACCGGACAAGCCCUCUCCAGAACCACAGAACGAGGCCUUCCAGUAAGUUCCCCUAGCCUGCCAUUACAGCAACUCCUAUGCCACCCUGCGAGACAUGGCACGCCUUGUUCAGUAAGAUCUAGGUCUUAGUACCGGGAAGGUUUAGGAGGCCACUUCUUCAGGUAGUUUACCUUAGCCCUAUGGCAAGUGGUAGUUCAUUGUAUCUAUUAAUUCUGGGCUUUUUUUUUUGAUCAUCUGUAAUUAAAGCUUCCCUGUUGAAAUUACUGUGUGGUUUUUCUUACUGGACC